AUGUCCCUACGCAGCUCCACUUUUCUCCCUGGUUUCUCAACCAUGAACAUCCGUGUUUACAGGUUCCCUCUCCCAGCCUGUGCUGACUCAGCCACCCUCCCUCUCUGCCACUCCUGGAGCAUCAGCCAGACUCACCUGCACCCUGAGCAGCGGCUUUGUUGUUGGUGGCUAUCACAUGUCCUGGUACCAGCAGAAGCCAGGGAGCCCUCCCCGGUAUCUCCUGAGGUUCAAGUCUGACUCAGAUAAGCACCAGGGCUCCGGAGUCCCCAGCCGCUUCUCUGGAUCCAAAGAUGCCUCGGCCAAUGCAGGGAUCCUGUACAUCUCCGGGCUGCAGGCAGAGGACGAGGCUGACUAUUACUGUGGCACAUUACAUACCAACAGUGGCAAGUACACAGUGCUCCAGACCCAGGGGGAAGUGACAGAAAACCUCCCCUGGUAUCAGACACAGCUGCCCUGCCUGGGGCCAAAUUAAACUAAAGAUUGAGGUCUGUUAUUACUUUUUUCACCAGCGCUUAA